AUCUUUGCUCUAUUUUGAAUAGCAUUUAGAUAAGGAGAUAUGAAAAUAAAUCUUCGCAGGUUUGCAUGAUUUACUCCUUUCUACCUGUUCGAUGAAAUGUCCCUGUGUUUCACUUUUAUCUCGUUGUUAUGUUUUUUUAUUUCUCCGCCAUCUUUUUUCAUUCCUAUGUUUUUGCUCUUAUUUGUGUGUGUGUGUAUUUUGAUUGAUCGGUGGGUGUGUAUUUUUGCAGGGGUGAUAUCUGGAGCUCUUUUGUAUAUAAGGGAUGAAUUCCUAGCUGUAGAUAGAAAGACUUGGCUUCACGUUACAAGUCUCGUAUCUCUGUUUUUUUCUAGAUAUUGAUCACAUGCAUGUUUCUGUUAAAUAUUUUAAUUGUUAUGAAAUCAUAUGGAUAUUAGUUUCGGUUUUAUUUUAUUUGAUUGAAUUUGAUGAACCUGCAG
rnacentral:lncRNA from 1 species